AAAACAUCUGGAGACCCAAAGACUGAGGACCACAGCUUUAAUAGGUGGUGCUGGUGAAACAAAGCCAUAGCAAUACCAGCAAUGGCUUCCUAUCCCUGGAAUGACUUCCCAAUGAAGGUUUAACUGACUGCUGCUUCAUUGGGAUCAGGCCAUUUUUAUUUCCCCAUAUUUUUUAAAAUAUAUUCUUUGAAAUGUUUGCUUGACCCUAGCUAUUAUCUGAAUUUAUUAAUAUUUACUUCUUUUCUUUGAGGAGCCAAAGAAGUGAGGAGUAGAAGUAUCAAAAUAGAUGCCUGGCUAGACACAUAUUUAUGAGAAUUGCCUAUCUUGAAGUCAGCCUUAACAGACUACAGCUGCCUAGCAGGAGAAUCUUCUCACAUAAAUCAACAUGCAUACUUCAAGCAGCAAACAAAACAUGUCGUCAAAAAGAGGAAAAGAUGGUAGAUCUAAUGGGGCCUGAAAGCACAGUCGGAGCAAGCCAAAUGCCCUAGGUCUCUGAUUUUUAUCCAGCAGAUAACAAAAACAGUAACUGCAUCAGAAAAUAAUGGGCCAAAGUCAAGAAAGGAAGCACUAGGCAAAGUCCCGGAUUUGGAAAUCCCCUCAAACAGCAACCCUGAUGCCCUUGGUUAGUGGCCUUUCAUUCUGUUGCGUUUCCAGAUUUCAGCUGCCUCUCAGGAUUUCUACCAUACUUGGCAUUAUUCUCUGCAUGGGCAGGUCUACUUAGUUUUCUUCAUUUUGAGUCAGCUGAGAUGAACAUCCGCUUGAGACUCCAUGCACUUUGUUCUUUUCUGUUCUCUUCUAAAUGAUUCCUUCCACAAGUAACUUUCUGUCAAUAAUUCCCACAAGCU
rnacentral:lncRNA from 11 species